UGCCAGCAGCCGCGGUAAUACGUAGGGGGCAAGCGUUGUCCGGAAUCAUUGGGCGUAAAGAGCGUGUAGGCGGCCAGAUAAGUCCGCUGUGAAAACUCGAGGCUCAACUUCGAGCUGUCGGUGGAAACUAUCUGGCUAGAGUCCGGAAGAGGAGAGUGGAAUUCCUGGUGUAGCGGUGAAAUGCGCAGAUAUCAGGAAGAACACCCGUGGCGAAGGCGGCUCUCUGGUACGGAACUGACGCUGAGACGCGAAAGCGUGGGGAGCGAACAGGAUUAGAUA
rnacentral:rRNA from 1 species